rnacentral:piRNA from 1 species
UGGCAGUUAUCAAAGGCCCUGUUCUUGUGU